rnacentral:rRNA from 1 species
AUUGAACGCUGGCGGCAUGCCUUACACAUGCAAGUCGAACGGCAGCAUGAUCUAGCUUGCUAGAUUGAUGGCGAGUGGCGAACGGGUGAGUAAUACAUCGGAACGUGCCCUGUAGUGGGGGAUAACUAGUCGAAAGAUUAGCUAAUACCGCAUACGACCUGAGGGUGCAAGUGGGGGACCGCAAGGCCUCAUGCUAUAGGAGCGGCCGAUGUCUGAUUAGCUAGUUGGUGAGGUAAAGGCUCACCAAGGCGACGAUCAGUAGCUGGUCUGAGAGGACGGACAGCCACACUGGGACGGAGACCCGGCCCAGACUCCUACGGGAGGCAGCAGUGGGGAAUUUUGGACAAUGGGGGCAACCAUGAUCCAGCAAUGCCGCGUGUGUGAAGAAGGCCUUCGGGUUGUAAAGCACUUUUGUCCGGAAAGAAAUCGCACUUACUAAUAUUAGGUGUGGAUGACGGUACCGGAAGAAUAAGGACCGGCUAACUACGUACCAGCCGCCGCCGUAAUAC